CUGGUUGAUCCUGCCAGUAGUGAUAUGCUUGUUUCAAAGAUUAAGCCAUGCAUGUCUAAGUAUAAGCGACCUUAUACAGUGAAACUGCGGAUGGCUCAUUCAGACAGUUUGAAUUUAUUUGAUGAAUGUAUGAGAAUACUACUUGGAUAACCGUAGUAAUUCUAGAGCUAAUACAUGCAACGACGCCCGACCGUUUCACUACGGAAGGGCUGUAUUUAUUGGAUACCAAAACCAUCCUUCCCUCGGGAAGUUUUGUUUGAUGAUUCACAAUAACUGAUCGGAUCGCCACUGUGGUGGCGACAGGUCAUUCAACAUUCUGCCCUAUCAGCUUUCGAUGGUUGUGUAGUGGACAACCAUGGCCAUAACGGGUAACGGAGAAUCAGGGUUCGAUUCCGGAGAAGGAGCUUGAGAAUUGGCUACUACAUCUAAGGAAGGCAGCAGGCGCGCAAAUUACCCAAUCCCGAUUCGGGGAGGUAGUGACAAAAAAUAACAAUACCGGGCCUUUUUGGGCUUGGUAAUUGGUAUGAGGGAGAGUUAAACGGACCAUCGAGUAUCCAUUGGAGGGCAAGUCUGGUGCCAGCAGCUGCGGUAAUACCAGCUCCAAUAGCGUAUAUUAAAGUUGUUGCAGUUAAAAAGCUCGUAGUUGGACUUGUGUGCGCUGUCUGCGGGUGGCCUGCGCCCAAAAGGGCGUUUCGGUUCGGCCCCGGUGGCGCCUUGAAAUCUGCAGCUGGGGGGACGUUGGCCUUAACUGGUCGGCGACCGCACGCCGGCUGCUCGGUUACUGUGAGAAAAUUAGAGUGUUCAAGGCAGGCAUUGGGUGCAAUUGAAUACAUUAGCAUGGAAUAAUAAAAUAUGGCUCCUGCCGUAUUUUGUUGGUUUUGACUGGUGGGAGUAAUGAUUGAUAGGGACGGUUGGGGGUGCUAGUAUUGAGCGGCCAGAGGUGAAAUUCAUGGAUUCGCUCAAGACUAACUUAUGCGAAAGCAUUCACCAAGGACGUCCUCUUUAAUCAAGAACGAAAGUUGGGGGAUCGAAGACGAUCAGAUACCGUCGUAGUCUCAACCAUAAACUAUGUCGACUUGGGAUCGGCGGUAGUUUUUUCAUUAAGACACUGUCGGGACCACGGGAGAAAUCAAAGUGUCUGGACUCUGGGGGAAGUAUGGUCGCAAGGCUGAAACUUGAAGGAAUUGACGGAAGGGCACCACCAGGAGUGGAGCCUGCGGCUUAAUUUGACCCAACACGGGGAAACUUACCAGGUCCAGAGAUGUAGAGGAUUGACAGAUUGAAGCUCUUUCUUGAUCACUUCGGUGGUGGUGCAUGGC
rnacentral:rRNA from 1 species